rnacentral:ncRNA from 1 species
GUGAGCCGUGUGCGGGAGAACCGCAUGCACGGUUCGACGGGCGGGAGCUGGAAACGGAACGGCCUGGCCACGGUCAU